UCGGGUAUAGCUCAGCGGCAGAGCGGGUGACUGUUAAUCACUAGGUCCUUGGUUCGAAUCCAAGUACCCGAGCCA
rnacentral:tRNA from 1 species